GCGCCGCUAGCUCAAUUGGCAGAGCAACUGACUCUUAAUCAGUAGGUUCCUGGUUCGAUUCCAGGGCGGCGCA
rnacentral:tRNA from 1 species